AGCUCAUUCUAGAUGAGAAUGGGCACUGUCCAAAAUAGAUCAAUGUGGCUAAAUUGACACAGGUUAUGCAUCCAUCACAUUACAUGUAUGGCAGUGAUAACAUUUUGCUUAAGCUCA
ensembl:snoRNA